GAUGAACGCUGGCGGCGUGCCUAAUACAUGCAAGUCGAGCGAACGGACGAGAAGCUUGCUUCUCUGAUGUUAGCGGCGGACGGGUGAGUAACACGUGGAUAACCUACCUAUAAGACUGGGAUAACUUCGGGAAACCGGAGCUAAUACCGGAUAAUAUUUUGAACCGCAUGGUUCAAAAGUGAAAGACGGUCUUGCUGUCACUUAUAGAUGGAUCCGCGCUGCAUUAGCUAGUUGGUAAGGUAACGGCUUACCAAGGCAACGAUGCAUAGCCGACCUGAGAGGGUGAUCGGCCACACAGGAACUGAGACACGGUCCAGACUCCUACGGGAGGCAGCAGUAGGGAAUCUUCCGCAAAGGGCGAAAGCCUGACGGAGCAACGCCGCGUGAGUGAAGAAGGUCUUCGGAUCGUAAAACUCUGUUAUUAGUGAAGAACAUAUGUGUAAGUAACUGUGCACAUCUUGACGGUACCUAAUCAGAAAGCCACGGCUAACUACGU
rnacentral:rRNA from 1 species